CUUUACCUCCAACACCACCUGAGCCUUUCACAAGGAAUUCCUGUAAAAAAAUAAAUAAAAAAAUAAAUGCCAAUUAAAUGAGGAAUUAGAGGCAUGCAGAAGAGCAUCUCAGAAUCCCAAGCAUGUCGACCCUUGACAGUGCAGAUGGGUUGCAGCAGAAGGUGACCACCCCGGGUCUUAUUCCUAUCAGCUAUAAACAAGAAACUGAGGCUACAAUUUGCAUUGGCUUGCCAAAAUUGAACAAUAUAAGACUGCUAAAAUGUU